AUUGAACGCUGGCGGCAGGCCUAACACAUGCAAGUCGAACGGUAACAGGAAGAAGCUUGCUUCUUUGCUGACGAGUGGCGGACGGGUGAGUAAUGUCUGGGAAACUGCCUGAUGGAGGGGGAUAACUACUGGAAACGGUAGCUAAUACCGCAUAACGUCGCAAGACCAAAGAGGGGGACCUUCGGGCCUUUUGCCAUCGGAUGUGCCCAGAUGGGAUUAGCUAGUAGGUGGGGUAACGGCUCACCUAGGCGACGAUCCCUAGCUGGUCUGAGAGGAUGACCAGCCACACUGGAACUGAGACACGGUCCAGACUCCUACGGGAGGCAGCAGUGGGGAAUAUUGCACAAUGGGCGCAAGCCUGAUGCAGCCAUGCCGCGUGUAUGAAGAAGGCCUUCGGGUUGCAAAGUACUUUCAGCGGGGAGGAAGGGAGUAAAGUUAAUACCUUUGCUCAUUGACGUUACCCGCAGAAGAAGCACCGGCUAACUCCGUG
rnacentral:rRNA from 1 species